rnacentral:rRNA from 1 species
UUCCAGGCCGUANGGGGUGCAGCAGGCGCGAAAACUUUACAAUGCUGGCAACAGCGAUAAGGGAACCUCGAGUGCCAGGUUACAAAUCUGGCUGUNGAGAUGCCUAAAAAGCAUUUCAUAGCAAGGGCCGGGCAAGACCGGUGCCAGCAGCCGCGGUAA